AUUCCCUAUUACAGGAUGUCCCAGCCAGUUCACUGAUCAUAGAGAAAACCCCUAUUGUACAUCAAUGUUAGCUGGAAGUUUGAAGUUAUACGUGUACAUCUUCGAGGUUCUGGACAAGAUUCAAUGUGAAGGCUGUAAGAGGUCCCCAUA